ACUCCUACGGGAGGCAGCAGUGGGGAAUUUUGGACAAUGGGGGCAACCCUGAUCCAGCCAUGCCGCGUGCGGGAAGAAGGCCUUCGGGUUGUAAACCGCUUUCGGCCGGAACGAAAUCGCCGGGGAGAACAUCCCCGGUGGAUGACGGUACUGUAAGAAGAAGCACCGGCUAACUACGUGCCAGCAGCCGCGGUAAUACGUAGGGUGCGAGCGUUAAUCGGAAUUACUGGGCGUAAAGCGUGCGCAGGCGGUUUUGUAAGCCAGAUGUGAAAUCCCCGGGCUCAACCUGGGAAUUGCAUUUAAAACUGUCCAGCUAGAGUCUUGUAGAGGGGGGUAGAAUUCCAGGUGUAGCGGUGAAAUGCGUAGAGAUCAGGAGGAACACCGAUGGCGAAGGCAGCCCCCUGGGCUAACACUGACGCUCAUGCACGAAAGCGUGGGGAGCAAGCAGGAUUAGAUACCCUGGUAGUCCACGCCCUAAACGAUGUCAACUAGGUGUUGGGGAAGGAGACUUCUUUAGUACCGCAGCUAACGCGUGAAGUUGACCGCCUGGGGAGUACGGUCGCAAGAUUAAAACUCAAAGGAAUUGACGGGGACCCGCACAAGCGGUGGAUUAUGUGGAUUAAUUCGAUGCAACGCGAAAAACCUUACCUACCCUUGACAUCCCAGGAGCCUCGCAGAGAUGUGAGGGUGCCCGAAAGGGAACCUGGAGACAGGUGCUGCAUGGCUGUCGUCAGCUCGUGUCGUGAGAUGUUGGGUUAAGUCCCGCAACGAGCGCAACCCUUGCCACUAGUUGCUACAUUCAGUUGGGCACUCUAAUGAGACUGCCGGUGACAAACCGGAGGAAGGUGGGGAUGACGUCAAGUCCUCAUGGCCCUUAUGGGUAGGGCUUCACACGUAAUACAAUGGCG
rnacentral:rRNA from 1 species